AAGUCGUAACAAGGUUUCCGUAGGUGAACCUGCGGAAGGAUCAUUAACGUACAACAAGCCUAUGAUGCCGGGGUUCUACAAAAACCCCUUCACGCGCACAUGGACUGAAUCCUUAUUCUACUCGUACCUCUCGUUCUCCUUCGGUGGGGCAACCUGCCGUCGGAACCUAUACAAACCCUUUUUUUGCAUCUAGCAUUUACCUGUUCUGAUACAAACAAUCGUUACAACUUUCAACAAUGGAUCUCUUGGCUCUG
rnacentral:misc_RNA from 1 species